AUGACAAGGAGGAAAGUGAGAAGAGACUCGAGUACCAGCCACUUGUUAUCAAUGGAAAUAAGACAGUCAUGGAAAAAGGCACAGGUUAGUCAUCAUGACGCUGCUGAACACUUUCCAGCAGGGCCCGAUUCGCAAGACAGAACAGCCUGGUGCGGCCAAGCCGGGGGCAAGAGGGAACUGCAGGUGGAACUUGGCCGUGGGGACGGGAGGCAAAAUCCCCACUGCAAAGCAAAGGCCUUCUGCCUUAAGCAAAUAGCAAACCAUCUCAGGGGCAAGGGAAGUGGGACGCUUUCACACCCAGCUGAGAAAAAUACCCUAAAAAUGCCAAAAAUGGUCAGAACAAGCACACAGCAGAGGCAGUAUGCUCACAGGAGGCCGUUUAACACCUAGCCACCACGUGAGCUGAGGCACUGGUUACAUGUGCUACAAGGGUCUGAUUAUUAAGCGUACGGACAGCACACUCCCAGUGAGAAAGGGUGGUAGCAGCAGAACGGACUUCCACCACAAAUAAAUAAUUGUUUAAAUUAAAAAGCCUUUUUUAAAAAGAUGUGUGGCGUUUCUUAUUGCUGCCUGAGGAAUAGUUCUUGCAAUACAUCACAGACUAGCAGCUUCCCAAAUCUGUGGAAAAAAUCAGCUGGAGUCCUUGUUUUUAAACACCAGUGCCUGUACAUGACAAACCAGAAUCUCUGACACAGGCAUUCUGAAGACCAUAGUUUGUGAAACACAGUCAUGGGAAAAUGUUUGGAAAAUGCAACUUAACCUGGUGAUGGCAAAAAGAUCAGCGUGUAUUCUUGAACAGCUCUACAAGUUUCGAAAGAAUUAUUUUCAAUGUAUAAAUAGUUAUCACUGUUUCAAGGAAUCAUGACAUAAAUCCUUUGGAAUUGAUUUGCCUAAUCUUUAAUCAUUUUGCUGUGUAAGACAGGAUUUUUGCUGAAACAAGGAACAUACACAAUAAAUAAAUGAAAACCAACUUCUAAAGAGGGAGGUGUGGCUGCAGAGGGAAAAAAAAAAAAAAACCAGCCAAUAGAGAUCUCUGAAUCAGGGCAAGAGGAGAAGAAAUUAGAGAAAGUAACUAGUUAGUGGAGUUGCCAAAUAUUUCAGGCAUAGAAGCUACUCUCAAAAUGACAAACAACAAUGAAGGCUGGCUCUUAUGAAUCAAGGUAUAAAAUACAUAAUAUACUGAAAUACGUGUUCAUGAAAUACUCACCAGACAACCCUGUGAUCACCCAUGAGCUUUCUGGCCUUUGCAACCUACUGUCUAACUAAGGUCUCCUCCCUAGGACCAGCCGUCACAGGGGGAAUUUCUUCUCCUUCCAUCCUACAUGGGAACACACCUAACGUCCCUCAUUUUAAUUUAAUUUUAUUUUUAGGGCUGCGCCUGCAGCAUAUGGAGAUUCCCAGGCUAGGGAUACAAUCAGAGCUGCAGCUGCCGGCCUACACCACAGCCACAGCAACG
rnacentral:lncRNA from 1 species